GACGGAAGGUGCAAGCGUUGCUCGGAAUCACUGGGCGUAAAGGGUGCGUAGGCGGCUUGGUGGGUCUGGUGUGAAAGCCCCGGGCUCAGCCCGGGAAGGGCACUAGAAACUGCCGAGCUGGAGUGCCGGAGGGGAGAGUGGAAUUCCUGGUGUAGCGGUGAAAUGCGUAGAUAUUGGGAGGAACACCGGUGGCGAAGGCGGCAUCCUGGACCGGCAUUGACGCUGAGGCGCGAAAGCCAGGGGAGCAAACGGG
rnacentral:rRNA from 1 species